rfam:Camelus ferus unplaced genomic scaffold scaffold258, whole genome shotgun sequence.
GGAGGAAACAGCUCAGUGGUAGAGCCUGCGCUUAGCAUGCACGAGGUCCUGGGUUCAAUCCCCAGUACCUCCA